CAUAUGAACAUGUUCACAUGCUAUCAAUACUGCAGUAUUGAUAAUGAUAGUGAUAAUAGACCAAGUAAUAGACAAUACGAACAUGGGGCAGAGUUUCAAAACAUGAAUUCAAAGCCAAAUCAAACAUCGAGAAUGUGGGCCGAUUUUAUACCAUUGGUGUCGUUAAUAACUACUUUUGUUGCCAGAAAUAAUGGAACAACCGAUGUUAAAUCCGAGAUAGCGUCGGUCACAGUCGAAAAUGUACUAAAUUCACCGGCUUGUAAUUUCCAAAGCAAUAAAACAAAACUCACUGAAUUAAGCGCUGACUGUCAAUCGCUUAUGUUGAAUUUGGGUCUAGAAAAUCUCAUGAACAUUGCUGAAACGAACAACACACUAUCAGCACUUGCUGCGGAUGUGUUUCAUCAAAAAUAUUCAAAUUGCACCGUUGAAAUAGAAAAUAAUCUUCCAUCGCAGUUCAAAUCACUACUGAUGGAGGAAGGAAUUGAAGGAGCGAAAGGCGAAAGGGUGAUUACCAUAUUUGGUUUGGAAAUGUCGUUGAAAUUUUUAAGGAAUUUUGGGUCAGCUAUUCAAAAGCUAACCAUUCAAAGUGAACGAUUUUGGGUGAAUGAAGAGCAAGCAAUCAUGGACUUUGUCAAUAAAUACUGCGCUCAAUCAUUGAUUAAAUUGGAAUUACAAAUAACUAGACAUGAUACGAUGAAAAAACUGACCGGACCGUUCACAAAUGUCGAAGAAUUGAGUUGCAAUGUCAUUGCCAGUGAUAUUCCUGAAAUUACAACACACAACCAUGCAACUUUGAAUAAAUUUUUCCCAAACAUACGCAAUUUGUCGCUUUCGAUCAAAUCCAACACAGACAUUGGCUUCGUCGGUAGUCUACCGCAUUUGAGGUCCUUGAGUCUAAGCGGUGAUACAACCACACCGCAAACAAUUAGUGACACGAGAUACACCCAACAUCUAAUGAAUAGAAAUCCUCAGAUUAAAGCACUUAAAUUGGUCUUUUAUCCACCUAAUUUCGUUCGAGUGGUCAAAUUGUAUUUGCCGGAUUUGGAAAGCCUAUCACUUUGGUUCUAUGACUUGGGAAAUGAUCAUGUUCACUUUGAACAUGUCAAAUCAUUUGAACUACUGUCGGCAAUAGGUGGAUCUCCGUUGCAAAUAUCGUUCCAGCAAUUGGAAGAGCUUCGAAUGUUGUAUCAACCUCUGUAUGCAGAGGAAUGGAUUGAAUUUCUUACAAUAAACACACAUUUAAAACGAGUACAUGUCGAAGAUUAUGGUGAAAAUGAAUCCACAUUGAAUCUAGAGAGUCUUAUAACACAACUACCGAAUAUUGAGGACAUUUCGAUUUUGACCUACAAAAGCGUCCAUUUUGGAACUGUGGUCAAGUUCAUCGAAACACACGAAUGGUUACAAAGGUUUGAAUAUGGUUCGAAGAACUUUAAUGAACAUGACACCGAAUAUCUGAAGAAAUUAUUCGACAAAAAUUGGACGUUUAGUGACUGUAACAUGUAUUAUAAAGGUGUAUUGCUUGAACGGAAAAAUUCAACAGGUUAAAAUUAGUUUUGAAUUUAAUUUGACAGUUUGAUUUAGAUGUUAGUGAAUUUUAUUGGAAAUUUGUCUUUAUUUUGAUUAAAUAAAUAAAUCUAUUGUUUAGACAAUGAACAAACUUUAAUAAAUAUAGUAAAUGAAUUUUAGGUACAUUCAAUGAUCAGCCCAGGUGCUUAAAAUUAUAAUUUUUACAUUGCUAACUUAAUAUCAAGCUUUGAAAGUAUUGCCAGAGCCGUUCAAAAAUGUAAACCGUGAAACAAUUUGUCAAUGUAUUUCCGGAUGUUCGCCGUUUCGCUUCUAAAAACAUCAAUUCGCUACCUUAGCUCACUUGAUUUGGGAGACAAGAAUAUUCACUUCAAACAUUGUGAAUUGCGUCGUACCUUUUGUUUUUGGGCAUUGCUUGAUCAUACCUACUGACUCUUGUUUUUUUUUCUCGACACCAAAUCAAUCAAUAUCAACGUUCUAAUUGAUAAGAUAUGAACAGCAAUGAAAAUGAUAGUGAUAAUAGGCCAAGUAGUAGACAAUACAAACCUAUGUAGAGUUUCAAUAGAUGGAUCCAAUAUCAGUCAAAGCCAAAUCAAACAUCAAGAAUGUGGGCCGAUUUUAUACCAUUGGUGUCGUUAAUAACUACAUUUGUUGCUAGAAAUAAUGGGACAACCGAUGUCAAACCGGAGAUAUCGUCGACCAAAGUCGAAAAUGUGACCGAUAUGCUAGUUUCACCGAUAUGUAAUUUUCAAGGCAAUAACACGAACUUUGGUGAAUUAAGCGCCGUAUGUCAAUCAUUUAUGUUGAAUUUGGAUCUAAAAAAUCUGCUCGACAUUGCUGAAACAAACUACAGACUAUCAGCACUUGCUGCGGAUGUGUUUCGUCAAAAAUAUGCAAAUUGCACCGUUGAAAUAGACAAUGAUCGUUCAUUGUCGUCCGAGUCAAAUGCCAUCAAAGAAAUUAACCAAUUUCCGGUGUUGAUGGAUGAAUGGACAAUUCUCGUAUUCGGUUUGAAUGUAUCAUUGAAAUUGCUAAGGAAUUUUGGGCCAGCUAUUCAAAAGUUAACCAUUCAUAAUCAACGUUUUUGGGUGAAUGAAGAAGAGCAUGAGCAAACAAUCAUGGGUUUUGUCAAUGAAUAUUGCGCUCAAUCAUUGAUCAAAUUAGAUUUGCAAAUAACCAACCCUGAUACGAUGAAAAAACUGACCGGACCGUUCACAAAUGUCGAAGAAUUGGGUUGCAAUGUCAUUGCCAGUGAUAUUCCUGAAAUUACAACACACAACCAUGCAACUUUGAAUAAAUUUUUCCCAAACAUACGCAAUUUGACGCUAUCGAUUAAAUCCAAUACAAACACUGGCUUUGUCGGUAGUCUGCCGCAAUUGAAGUUCUUGAGUCUCAGGGGUGAUACAAUCACACCGCAAACAAUUAGUGACACGAGAUACACCCAACAUCUAAUGAAUAGAAAUCCUCAGAUUAAAGCACUUAAAUUGGUCUUUUAUCCACCUAAUUUCGUUCGAGUGGUCAAAUUGUAUUUGCCGGAUUUGGAAAGCCUAUCACUUUGGUUCUUUGACUUGGGAAAUGAUCGCGUUCACUUUGAACAUGUCAAGUCAUUCGAAUUACUGUCAGGAAUAGGUGGAUCGCCGUUAAAAAUAUCGUUCAAGCAAUUGGAAGAGCUUCGAAUGUGGUAUCAACCACGAUAUGCUCAGGAGUGGAUCGAAUUUCUUAUGAUGAACACACAUUUAAAGCGAGUGCAUGUCGAAGAUUAUGGUGACAAUGAAUCUACAUUGGAUCUAGAGAGUCUUAUAACACAACUACCAAAUAUUGAAGACAUAUCAAUUUUGAGCUACAAAAGCCCCCAUUUUGGAACUGUGGUCAAAUUUAUUGAAACACAUGAACGCUUACAAAAGUUUAAGUAUGGAUCAAAAAACUUUGAUGAACAUGACAUCCAGUAUCUGAAGAAAGAAUUUAGCAAAAAAUGGACGAUUAGUGACUUUAAUGGGUAUUAUAGUGGCUUAUUAUUUGAACGAAAAAAUUCAACAGCAUAAAUUCGUUUGUGGAUUUAAUCGGAUGGUCUAAUUUUUUCAGAUUUUAGUGAAUUUUAUUUGAAAUUUGUCGUUAUUUUGAUUAAAGAAACAAAUCAAGUAUU